rnacentral:rRNA from 1 species
UACGUAGGGUGCAAGCGUUAAUCGGAAUUACUGGGCGUAAAGCGUGCGCAGGCGGUUAUGUAAGACAGAUGUGAAAGCCCCGGGCUUAACCUGGGAACUGCGUUUGAAACUGGGAGACUUGAGUGUGGCAGAGGGGGGUGGAAUUCCACGUGUAGCAGUGAAAUGCGUAGAUAUGUGGAGGAACACCGAUGGCGAAGGCAGCCCCCUGGGUUAACACUGACGCUCAUGCACGAAAGCGUGGGGAGCAAACAGG